rnacentral:rRNA from 1 species
GAUGAACGCUGGCGGCGUGCCUAAUACAUGCAAGUCGAGCGAACAGACGAGGAGCUUGCUCCGCGGACGUUAGCGGCGGACGGGUGUGUAACACGUGGAUAACGUACCUAUAAGACUGAGAUCACUUCGGGAAAGCGGCGCUAAUAGCGGAGGAUAUAUUGAUGCGCAUUGUUGGAUAGUGAAAGACGGUUUUGGUGUAACUAAUCGCGGGAUCCGAGCCGGAUUAGCUGGUUGGUAAGGUAACGGGUUAUCAAGGCGACGAUGCGUGGCCGAGGUGAGGGGCGGAUCGGCCACCCUGGAACUUAGACAGGCUCCAGACUCCUACGGUAGGGAGCAGUAGGCAAUCGUCCGCAACGGUCGAAAGCUUGACGGAGCAACGCCGCGUCAGUGAUGAAGGUCUUCGGAUCGUAAAACUCUGUUAUUAGGGAAGAACAAAUUUGUAAGUAACUAUGCACUUCUUGACGGUACCUAAUCAGAAAGCCACGGCUAACUACGUG